AUCAACGCUGGCGGCGUGCCUAACACAUGCAAGUCGAGCGAGAAAAGGUAGCAAUACCCUAGUUAAAGCGGCGCACGGGUGAGUAACACGUGGAUAACCUGCCUCGAAGUGGGGAAUAACACCGGGAAACCGGUGCUAAUACCGCAUACUCUGACGAGAUCUGUGGAUUUUGUCAGCAAAGGAGCAAUUCGCUUUGAGAGGGGUCCGCGGCUGAUUAGCUAGUUGGUGAGGUAAUGGCUCACCAAGGCCACGAUCAGUAGCCGGUCUGAGAGGACGGUCGGCCACACUGGAACUGAGACACGGUCCAGACUCCUACGGGAGGCAGCAGUGGGGAAUUUUUCGCAAUGGGGGCAACCCUGACGAAGCAACGCCGCGUGGGUGAUGAAGUAUUUCGGUACGUAAAACCCUUUCGACGGGGACGAAACCGCAAGGUUGACGGUACCCGUAGAAGAAGCCCCCGGCUAACUACGUGCCAGCAGCCGCGGUAAUACGUAGGGGGGCAAGCGUUGUUCGGAAUACAUUGGGCGUAAAGGGCGCGUGUAGGCGGUUAUUGUAAGUCGGAGUGUGAAAAUCCCUGGGCUCAACCGAGGAAGCUGCAUUCCAAAACUGGAAUAGCUGGAAGAUGGUAGAGGGAAAGGUGGAAUUCCUAGGUGUAGAGGUGAAAUGCGUAGAUAUUGGGAGGAAUACCGGUGGCGAAGGCGGCCUUCUGGGCCAUUCUUGACGCUGAGACGCGAAAAGCGUGGGGAGCAAACAGGAUUAGAUACCCUGGUAGUCCACGCUGUAAAACGAUGGGUACUAGAUGUUGCAGGAAUUGACCCCUGCAGUGUCGACGCUAACGCAUUAAGUACCCCGCCUGGGAAGUACGGUCGCAAGAUUAAAACUCAAAGGAAUUGACGGGGGCCCGCACAAGCGGUGGAGCAUGUGGUUUAAUUCGAUGCAACGCGAAGAACCUUACCUGGGUUUGACAUCCCCAGACAGCCCUAGAGAUAGGGUUUUCCCCUUCGGGGGCUGGGAGACAGGUGCUGCAUGGCUGUCGUCAGCUCGUAUCGUGAGAUGUCGGGUUAAGUCCCUUAACGAGCGCAACCCUUAUCCCUAGUUGCCAUCAUUUAGUUGGGCACUCUAUGGAGACUGCCGGUGUUAAAACCGGAGGAAGGCGGGGAUGACGUCAAGUCCUCAUGGCCUUUAUAUCCAGGGCAACACACCGUGCUACAAUGGCCGGUACAGAGGGUCGCCAACCCGCGAGGGGGAGCUAAUCUCAGAAAGCCGGUCUCAGUUCGGAUUGAAGUCUGCAAUUCGACUUCAUGAAGCUGGAAUCGCUAGUAAUCGCGGAUCAGAACGCCGCGGUGAAUACGUUUCCCGGGCCUUGUACACACCGCCCGUCACACCACGAAAGUCAACUUCACCAGAAGUCGCUGUCCUAACCGUAAGGAGGGAGGCGCCCAAGGUGAGGUCGAUGAUUGGGGUG
rnacentral:rRNA from 1 species